rnacentral:rRNA from 1 species
CGACUCUCGACAACGGAUAUCUCGGCUCUCGCAUCGAUGAAGAACGUAGCUAAAUGCGAUACUUGGUGUGAAUUGCAGAAUCCCGUGAACCAUCGAGUCUUUGAACGCAAGUUGCGCCCGAAGCCAUUAGGCCGAGGGCACGUCUGCCUGGGCGUCACG